CUUUUUGCUUCUGUGAGUAUACAGCUAGUUCAUUUUCUUGUAAAAAGUGUUCCUCUGGCGUGUUACUCCUGCACCUGCCUUGAAGCUAGGGAGGAACACAAUCCUGAUUGGAAACCAGAAUAACAAGAUGCUUGUUUUCUUCCUUCAUCUAAGAUGACCACCCCUUCCCUUCCUCCCGAAGGAAGAGGCAUUAACCCCAACCUGUCCACCUGCCGAGAGUCUCAGUGCAACAAUCAUGGUAACUGUGUGACUCCUACGGGUGGUGGUACAGAUCUAGCAUGUAACUGUGAUCUGGGCUACAAGGGUGACUCCUGCGAGGACACGAUCAAUGGGGCAUUAAGUGUACCUUUGACCCUGAGCGUGUUUGCUGUCCUCGUUGGCCUGGUGAUCCUGGCCUUCAUCGCUGCCAAGUUCCGGCAGAAACAAAAGAAGAAGCGAAGGAAACUACUGGAAGAAAAAGUCUACAGCAAUACUGCAUAAUGUGGAUAACUGUCGAACAGAUAAACUUUGGUGAUCAAAUUGUGACUACCACUAUAAGAAUUAUGCUGCAACAUCCCACAGACUCGAGCAAUAACUUCACAAACUGAGUGCAAAGGCGUAUGGGAGAGUUACUUCUUAUACAGUAUUUUUCCAUUUGUACAAAAAGUAUCUAUCUCUAAUACCGCAAGCCACAUGCUGAUUCAUUUUGUGCCUCUUCUCUGAAACCAACUAAACUGAUGCCAAUAGAGUCAUCCAGGCAAAACGUGCAGUGCAAAUGUCUGUAUUUUAAUCAACAUCAGCUUCCUUGAUCUCAUUUCUCAAACACUAAGGCAUGCUUCUGCAAGUAGUUUAAACUCUGACUCUUGUUAGUAAAACAAUACAAAUGUUCACCUAUAAUUUACCUUCUCUGAGGGAGCUGCAGUUUAGCUUAAGUAAAGCAAGUGGUUGUUAUUUUGACAGUGAAGGCUCCAGACAGAUGACAUUUACGAUGAUUCUCUAGACCGUUUAAUGGGAAUCUGAUAAGCCAGAAGCUGAUUUGACUCCGUCCAGUUUUUAUAUAUUUUAUUUAGAAAAUAUGCACUUUUUUUCCACUCUUGUGGUUUUAUUUCAUUGCUAUGUUACGUACAGCAGUUGCUGCUGGUAUUAUAUUGUUUCCCUUGAAUUUCUUUCUUUCUUUCUUUCUUUUUUUUUAAGGCAUGCGUGUGUGUGCGUGUGCAUAUUAGUGCCUUUUAACACUUUGGGUUUUUGGGAAGUAUUUCUACCUAGUUCUAAGUGCCCUGCCUUUGAUUCUUUUGAUGCUGUGGCAACAUAAAUGCACCUGUACAUCACUGGCCUGCUUUCGUUCAGAUUUCUGUUCAUGCUUAUGAAAAUAAUGCAUUUUCAAUCUGUGCAGACACAAUCCUGCAUGGCUGUCAGUAACAUAUUGUACAGAUGGUAGGAGAGCGGUCAGAGCUGAUUUCAGUCUUGGCAUUUUCAAAACCUGAUAGUAUGUGUGCUUUUAAAUGAGUUCCUGUGCCCUCUGAAUCUCAGGCUACAAAAUGAUUACCGCUCGAUAAACUUCUGGACCUGUAAAGAUGAAAGCUGCAGAGUAUCUUGGUACAGAAUAAGUAAUUAAGUUCCUCAAGCUUGUAGCCAGUGUUAAGUGCCUACUGUAUUGCUUCUUUAUUAUGUUCACAACCACCUAAGUUAUUAUAUUUGUACAGACCUUUUACCUGGUAGCUACUGGUGACCACAAACAUAAACUGGUCAUCAACAACACAGUAGCAAUAAGUUUUGUAAAUAUCUGCCCCUCUAACCACUGGGUAAAAAUCACAAAACGGUAAUGUUACUGUAGAUUUUCAGAUCUGCCAUAUACAAUAGUCAAUCUUAAUUAUAUUAUCGUGUUUUUAUGUGUGCAUGAAUGUGCUGGACAUUUAUAUUAAUAUGACCAUUGUUGACGAGCAGGGUUUCUCAGUCUAUGCAUCCUAUAGUGUCUUCCACUGGCUUGUAUACAGUUUGAAUUAUAUAGACAGAAGAGGAUGUCUCACUGUGUUGUUUACACUCACAGUAUUUGAAGAAAAGAAAUGCACAAUAACUUUUGUAUGCUUUCAAAAUAAUAUGAAAAAACUCUGUAAUAUUUAUAUGCAUCCCCUGUAUCAGUGCACACAGAUUUGUAUCAAUAAAGUUGAUUAUUGGUGUUUUCUUUUCUUUGGUACGUAAGUAAAAAGUACAGGUUUUCUACCUGCCAUUAACUAGACAGUCAACUUAUACUGCAGGGUGUCACAGUGUCUUAUCACUGGGGAUAGAUAAGCUGUCUUUGUGCGCCUGUUACAGUAAACCUCUUUUUCUGGCAUCCAGUGACACGAUAAUAUCAGUUUCAGUGUUUACCAAACUCAGGUUCUCAGGCUGCGAAUUUGCAGUGUCACAGCCUGAGAACCUAACUGCAUUUACUAUAUAAGAAAAUAUGUAACAACAAGGAAGUGGAAGCCUCUGCCAUCAGGGU